rnacentral:rRNA from 1 species
CACGUAGGGUGCGAGCGUUGUCCGGAAUUAUUGGGCGUAAAGAGCGCGUAGGCGGUGUGUCGCGUCGGCCGUGAAAACCUGCAGCUUAACUGUGGGCGUGCGGUCGAUACGGGCAUCACUGGAGUUCGGCAGGGGAGACUGGAAUUCCUGGUGUAGCGGUGAAAUGCGCAGAUAUCAGGAGGAACACCGGUGGCGAAGGCGGGUCUCUGGGCCGAUACUGACGCUGAGGAGCGAAAGCGUGGGGAGCAAACAGG